AGGCACAUUGUCCUUCCUCAGAGACGCCGUAAGCACUCUCUCUCGCCCCCAAGAUGAAGCUGAUUUCAAUGUUGAUGGCCCUGGUUGUGGCCCUCUCUGGCCUCCUUGGUUCAGCUCGUGCCAUGCCUGACCCCUACCCAGUGGCUGACCCCGUGGCCGACCCCUGGUUCUUUAGACGCAGGCACUACUACCCACACUACCACCACUACCCCCACCAUCACCACUACCACCAUUGGUGAAAACGAGGAUUCUCUCCUCUCUAAAGGAUCCCAAAAAUAUAACGAAUCAUAUUUCCUUCGCGCGAAUUUGUAUACCAAUUCAGAAUUUGUAUUUUCGGUCAUCUUCGUACGAAAAUAAAACCCUAAAAGAGA